rnacentral:lncRNA from 1 species
UCUUUUGGCAUGUGUGUUGGGAGAAAUUCUUUGUGCUUGAGGGCAAGCUAAUCUUAGUGACGCUCGAGGGCGAGCUGUCAUUGAGUAUAGUGGUGUGAUGACCCGGGUUUGUAUGAUGUUUUUAGGGUUUUUCCUUGUAGGUUUUGAGUCUUUUUCUUGUGUCUCAUGUAGUGUUUCAUGCAUUCUCAUGCAUUUUUAUCUUUUCUUGAGUCUUUGUUUUGUUUUGGUCAUUUUGUAGUUUUAUAGGGAGCUUUNN